AUUGAACGCUGGCGGCAGGCCUAACACAUGCAAGUCGAGCGGAUGAAGGGAGCUUGCUCCUGGAUUCAGCGGCGGACGGGUGAGUAAUGCCUAGGAAUCUGCCUGGUAGUGGGGGAUAACGUCCGGAAACGGGCGCUAAUACCGCAUACGUCCUGAGGGAGAAAGUAGGGGAUCUUCGGACCUCACGCUAUCAGAUGAGCCUAGGUCGGAUUAGCUAGUUGGUGGGGUAAAGGCCUACCAAGGCGACGAUCCGUAACUGGUCUGAGAGGAUGAUCAGUCACACUGGAACUGAGACGCGGUCCAGACUCCUACGGGAGGCAGCAGUGGGGAAUAUUGGACAAUGGGCGAAAGCCUGAUCCAGCCAUGCCGCGUGUGUGAAGAAGGUCUUCGGAUUGUAAAGCACUUUAAGUUGGGAGGAAGGGCAGUAAGUUAAUACCUUGCUGUUUUGACGUUACCAACAGAAUAAGCACCGGCUAACUUCGUG
rnacentral:rRNA from 1 species